UACGUAGGGGGCUAGCGUUGUCCGGAAUCAUUGGGCGUAAAGAGCGUGUAGGCGGCCCGGUAAGUCCGCUGUGAAAGCCCGGGGCUCAACCCCGGAGGGUCGACCGAUACUGGCAGACUAGAGUACAGAAGAGGUAACUGGAAUUCCCGGUGUAGCGGUGAAAUGCGUAGAUAUCAUUUGGAACGCCAAUGGUGAAAACAGGUAGCUGGGGCUGUGCUGACGCUGAGACACGAAAGCCAGGGGAGCAAACGGG
rnacentral:rRNA from 1 species